UUCGUUGGGUGGCUUGCUGCUCGACGAUAGCAUUUAUUAGAGUGAUGCCAACCGUUUCGACGUGAGUUGAGGCGUGGUGAAUCUAGAUAACUGUUGCAGAUCGUAUGGCCUAGAGCUGACGACAUUUCGAUUGAAUUUCUGCCCUAUCAACUAUUGUCGACAGUGUAGUGGACUGCCGAGGUUUUUACGGGUAACGGGGAAUCAGGGUUCGAUUCCGGAGAGGGAGCCUGAGAAACGGCUACCACAUCCAAGGAAGGCAGCAGGCGCGCAAAUUACCCAAUCCAGACAAUGGGAGGUGGUGACGAAAAGUACCAAAUGUCGGGCAUUUGUCUGACAGUUUGGAAUGAAAACAAUUUACGAAUUUGAAUUGAGUAACGACUGGAGGGCAAGUCUGGUGCCAGCAGCCGCGGUAAUUCCAGCUCCAGUAGCGUAUGUCAAAGUUGCUGCGCUUAAAACGCUCGUAGUUGGAUCACGCACUGUGUGCCGGUGGGCGUGAUGCUGUUCGCUAUUGACCCUUGUGGCUGGGAUGGCGUGUCCUCACGUCAUUCUCGGUGCGAGGGAGCAGCAGUGUUGCGUCAUAAGCUGGCGUGCAGUAAUUUCACGCGAGGAUGGCUUUUGACCUUGAGUGCGUUGAGAGUCGUGUCUCGCGGGGUGUGCCUUGAGUAAAUCAGAGUGCUUAAAGCAGGCGAAAGCUUGAAUGUUAAUAGCAUGGAACGAACAAUCGUGUAUGGUGUGCGCUGAAUCGAGCGUGACCGGUUCUUCGGGACUGGCGCGUUCCAGUGUACGACACCGACCACCAAUUACGGAUGUUGGUUCCGUAUUGGGGUACUGAUUAAGAGGAGCGGUUGGGGGCAUUGGUAUUUGGCAGCGAGAGGUGAAAUUCUUGGACCUGCCAAGGACUAACAAAUGCGAAGGCAUCUGUCCAGACCGUAUCCAUUAAUCAAGAACGAUAGUGAGAGGUUCGAAGACGAUCAGAUACCGUCCUAGUUCUCACCGUAAACUAUGCCGACCCGGGAUCAGUUUGGAGCUUUGUAUCCACGCUCGAGGUUGGUCCCCCUGGGAAACCUAAAGUUUUUCGGUUGCGGGGGGAGUAUGGUCGCAAGGCUGAAACUUAAAGGAAUUGACGGAAGGGCACCACCAGGGGUGGAGCCUGCGGCUUAAUUUGACUCAACACGGGAAAACUUACCUGGUCCGGACAUCGAAAGGAUAAACCGACUAACAGAUCGUUUUUGAUACGAUGAUUGGUGGUGCAUGGCCGUUCUUAGUUCGUGGAGUGAUCUGUCAGGCCAAUUCCGGUAACGAACGAGACCACAAUCUCCAUUUGACGAGUCGGAGAAGGUGUCGGUCGCGAGUGUGGUCCGUCAAACGACUGUGCUUGUGAUUGGCGCUGUCGGUGUAACGCGAUGAUGAGUUGUAAAGUCGCGUUUUGGGUGGCAACACCUGGGGUGCGACGGAACGAGGAGUGUGUCGUGUUCCCUCCGAUCCAACAGUAGGCUAUCCGUGAGGGUAGUGUGCUGUAUCAUGGAGAGACAACGGAAUAUAUUCCAAAAUCCGAGGAAGUGUGGCUAUAACAGGUCUGUGAUGCCCUUAGAUGUUCAGGGCUGCACGCGCGCUACAAUGGCGGCGACAGCGAGUGUCUGUAUCGAAAGAUUCGGGUAACCUUGUAAUCGCCGCCGUGAUGGGGAUCGACGUUUGUAAAUACGUCGUGAAAGAGGAAUCCCUAGUACGUGCGAU
rnacentral:rRNA from 1 species